rnacentral:rRNA from 1 species
AGCGAACGCUGGCGGCAGGCUUAACACAUGCAAGUCGAACGGGCGUAGCAAUACGUCAGUGGCAGACGGGUGAGUAACACGUGGGAACGUACCUUUUGGUUCGGAACAACUGAGGGAAACUUCAGCUAAUACCGGAUAAGCCCUUACGGGGAAAGAUUUAUCGCCGAAAGAUCGGCCCGCGUCUGAUUAGCUUGUUGGUGAGGUAACGGCUCACCAAGGCGACGAUCAGUAGCUGGUCUGAGAGGAUGAUCAGCCACAUUGGGACUGAGACACGGCCCAAACUCCUACGGGAGGCAGCAGUGGGGAAUAUUGGACAAUGGGCGAAAGCCUGAUCCAGCCAUGCCGCGUGAGUGAUGAAGGCCCUAGGGUUGUAAAGCUCUUUUAACGGGGAAGAUAAUGACGGUACCCGUAGAAUAAGCCCCGGCUAACUUCGUGCCAGCAGCCGCGGUAAAGUAGUCGUG